AGCCCCCAGCCAGGCUGGUUAUCAGGGGCCACUGAGCCCUGACCUCAGCAGGCCCAGGCUGGGCACGGGGCUGGGGUGCCUGAGGCGUUCCCAGCCCGCCCCCGCACCCAGUAUCUGGAGCUGCCCCGCCCAGCCUGAGAUAGCUGCCCAGAGAGGAGAUACAUGCUGGGAACACACCGCAGGGCCGGCUCCCAGUGGCCACGGAGAAGGGAACGGGGAGGUGGCCCUGGACUUGGUGGAGAGGCUCAGCCCAGCGGGCACUGUCGGGGUGAGUCUGAGGGUCCCGCUGGAGAGGAAACUUAGGGCGUGGACUGCCUGACACCCACGUGUGUCUGAGCAGAGCCCAGACUGGGGCUCGGGCUCCGACCUCCUGCCCACAGAUGGCCUCUGCCAUGCAGGCCACACGGUCUGCAGGCCUGGCUGCUUGCUCUCCACUCGGGAGGGAGCUGAAGGACGGCAGGGAUACGCUCGCCGCGACGGACGCGCCCCUGCACAGGGCUCCCAGGGCUGCACGGCCCUGCCAGGGACCUGCCGGCCCAAGCCCGUGCCCCAGGCAGGGGCUACCCUGUGCCAGGCCCAGCGCGUGACUUGUGGCCUGGGGCGGGGGGCAGAAGGAGACACCUGUUCACGCCCACCCGGGGCCCUGAGGCCCGGCCUGGGCCCCGUGACGGCAGAGGGGUUCCUGGGAGAAUGGGAUCCCAGAAAGCCCCUCUUCCCACGCGAAGGGCCUUCCAGGGCCUCCACCCCAGGCCCACCCAGCGCCCGCGGCCAGCCUUCCUGCCAGCUCUUGCAACACUGCGUGAGGGCUGCACAGAAACCCGAUCUCGGGCUCAGGCCCUGACGUGCCCCUGCCGCCCGUCCCACUAAGCUCUUCUCCGUGGUGGGGCCGCCGGUCCCAGACCCCGCGGAGACCCAUGGCUCGUGCCUGCAGGUUCUCAGGAGGGCAGCCAUGGGCACUGGCCCGGCCCUGCCUCCCACGUAAGGGGACUCCGAGACGGGACCCUCUGCACGGAGCCGUCCAGCAAAGGCCUCUGUCCCUGCAGCCGGCCAGGGCUGUGGAAGAAACCAGCCCCUGACCCUCUGGCAGCUGGGCAAGUCCACCCAGUCCCCGCACCUCAGUUUCCCCAUCCAGGAAUGGGACGCCUGCCCAAGGCCCUCAUGAGAUGCCUGGGGCUGGCACCCCCGCCCAGCCUCCUGCAGGAGAACGGGUGCCACGCUGCUCCCCAGCACUGGCCACCGCAGGUGGGACCUUCCUUCCUCUGCAGCAUAUGGUGAAGGAGCAGUGGUGAUGGGGGAUAAACAAGCCACGGGCCUCGUCCCUGUCAGAGCAGGGUCCUCACAGGUGGGCUCAGUGGAGGAGGGGCUGGCCCUGCGGCCAGAAGCCUCCUAAAGGCAGGCAAUCUCCUCCCUGCACCAGGCCCAGGCCCCUCUGGCUGCUCUCUGCUCUGAAGCGGGCAGGGCCGCCCUGAACGUGUGUGCAGGUUGGGCACUGCUCAAGGGACUGUGAGUCGUCAGGGCAGUGGUCCUGCUACACGAGGCAUCUUCCCAAAGCUCGAAUUGGAGCCCCUCCUCAAGUGCUGGCUUAAACCUGGAGCAACGCACCCUCUCAUGCCCCCCCACCCCAAGGGAUGAAGCUUGAUUCCUCUGCCCCCCGCCCCCACCAUGGCUCUCAGCUUGGGUCUCACUUUCCCUGCGAGCUCUGUGUUCCUGCUGCCUCUGCCCUCCCCAUCGGCACCCUGGUCACACCAUGCUGUCACUUCCUGGUCCCUGGGACACCUUUCUCUCCACCAUCCCGGCCCGUUGGUCUGUGGGCUCUGCCAGGGCCGGAAUCAAACCACUUUGGAAUCCCACCGAGGUCUGUAGAAGGCAGGGGGGCGGGAGGGGCCUGGGGCCGUGGGAGAUAGGCUUUGCUGGUAAGGCACCCAGGACUGGGGCAGAGAGUAAGCUGGCGGUGGAGGGAGCAGGUGGGCGCAGGGGAGCCUCUGGUCAGGGGCUCAGGGCCAGGGCCAGCGAACUGAGGGCACCGUGUCCCUCUGCCAGCCCCCAGGACCCUUGCAGCCCCCAGUUGCCCCACAGCCCUGAAUCCCCGCCUCCCUGCCUCACACAAAGCCCAGGCUUUCCGGGCCUUACCUCUCCCUCUGUACAGGAGCCCAAGCCCCUCCACAUAACCCCGCCCGGGUAGCACCCCCAGCCACUGGUGCAGCCGUGCCCCAUCCCUCAGGUGCGUCUCUGCUCCCGCGGCAGCUCAGCCCCCUUUGAAAGUCAUGCUGGCGUUCAAGGGCCACCCCCCAGAGGUCCUGGGAAGAUGGGAAGAGCCCGCAUCUCCCCACUGCCUCGAGGGAGCCCUGAGGGGCCUUUGUGGGGCCCGGCUGGACCCUCGGGACAUUUGAAACCGGGGACACUCAGGAGGCCUGUUGGGGGGUCCCACGCUCGCUGACCCCGCUGGGCAUUGGGGUCCCCCAUCCCGUCCCCACCAGGCAGCUCAAGGUGCCGAGGGCCGGCACGUGCCCGGGCAGGGCCCGCUGCAGCUGGCGGCUCAGAGGAUGGCACUCCUGCUCCGCCGCUGGCUCAUGCCCCCUUGGGAGUCAGGGUCAGGGAGGUGCCCACCCACAGGUCACACCCUCCUGACUCUGGGCCCCCGCUUCCUUCCUCCCUCCUUCUCUCUGGCAAACUAGAGACCCAGAAACCAGACCUCCAUGAGCCGGGGCCCCAAGGGACUGCUGGGAGCCUGGUGACUCUCUGUCCUCCCCUGUGCCGGGGAUCAAUAGUCUCUCGAAGGGCCUCUGGGCAUCUCUCAGGCCUGUUCCCAAGGGCCGGCGCGGCUCGGGCUUCAGUGAGCUUGAGGCAAGUGUCCCGGCAGCUCUCCUCUCCGCAGACCCCCACUGGCCACAUGGCCAAGCUGCCCAGCUGAGGCUCCUGCUAGAGACAACCGAUGGGGUGUGAGGGAGCGGCUGCCAGGGUUCAGCCCUGGAGGGGCCAGCGGUGGGUGUGGUCUCCAGGCCAGUCCCGGGAAGGGCCAGGGAAGGGGCCGGAGGUGGCCUGGCCUCCUCUCGGGCAGCAGAAGGGUGGACACCAGCUGACACCCCCACCCCGCUGCCUGCCACACCUUCCUCCUCGGCCCAGCGUUUUCUCACGCUCGGAGCUGGCACGGCGAACCCUGCGUGCUGGGACUUGUCACCCCAUCCCGGGAAGGUGGGCGAGGCUUUUCCUCUGGGCCUGGGGGCAGGGGCCACCGCAAGUCAAGACACGGCCUGGAGUGGUGGAGCCGGGUUGCGACACCGGCUGAGCAGCUGCAGGGGGCCCGGCCCACACCUGGUCCGUGUCCCAGUCCGUCCGCCUACCUUGGCACCUACCCCCUGCUGGGGAGGGCAGAGAGCAUGGGUGGGCUUGGGGAGGUGGGUUCCCAUCCUUCCUAGAGGUGGACCCGGGAGCUUGGGCCAAGGCCCUGCCCCACUCUGGUCCUCAGCUGGAAACUGAGGAUCAUAAAGGUUCGUCGGGACACCUAUAUGCACCCACACGCCCCGCACCCUGUCGGAGUCUGCGGUGUGGUCAGCAGUGCUGACCUCAGUUUUCCCCUCUGGAGAGUGGGAUGACAGGAUAGCUACCUCAGGGCUGCUGGGAGGCUCCAACAAGAAAUCCACACUUUGGGAGUCUUGGGCCUUGCAGCAUCACGGCUGUGACUUUGGGACAGAAGGCCAGGAAUUCCUAAGGGCCCCUGAGGCUGAUGUGCUGCGGGGACAGAGGCCUGAUGGCCCCCGAUUCCCAAACCUCACUCAGUCCCGGGACAAGACCUCAGAUCUCUCUGGCCAGAACUGGUGAGGCUCACUCUCCAGCUGAGAGCUGGAUGGAUGCCCCCCUCCAGCAGGGCCCCCGCCUCCAGCCAGUCCUUCAGGGGCUAACCCCCUGGUGACAGACUGGCCCCUGAGCAAAUCCAUUUCAUUUGAGGUCAGGCUGGCCUGUGGUUCCCCUCAACCCACCAGGUCCUUGUGUGAGCCUCUGGUUGUAAAGACAAAACCGGAUCCUCUCUGGGCACCACCCCUGUAGGGCUAGUGGGGACCCAGGCCGAGGGUGGUCCCCAGGAGGGUGGCAUGAGUACCUGGCCUGUCUCAUUUGCCUCAGCGAAAUGGGGGGCGGGGGUAGAGUGGGACAUGGGACAGGCCGGAGUGGCGCUCUGGACAGACCCUCCUCAGUUCUGUUGUCACGUGGAGAAACUGAGGCCCAGGGAGGUGCAAGCCCACGGCUGGGCUCGUGAGCCAAGCUGGGCCCCCAGAGGCCCCGGACCUUCCUGGCCGUGAUGUGCAGGCCGUUCGCUGGGCAGGAAGGAGGGCCUGGGGCGCGGGGCUCUGGGGAAAGGGCCCCAUAGCUUAAGAGCUCCUUCUGCAGGAGUCACCAGCUGCCGUCGGAGGCUGGGGAGAUGGAGAGGCAGGCCCCCCGGGAGGCAGCCCCUCGACACCCUGGCAACCCCCCAGGCAGGCGUGGGAAUGUGACUGGCGGGAACAGGCCCUCUCCCCCAGGAAUCAGCGGCUGGGCGCCGGCCAAGGGGGGUCUGAUCCAAAGAGGAAGCAAAGUUCAGCUGCUGUGGAGCAGAUGAGCUGCUGGGGGCGGACGCAGGCCGUGAAGAUGGGGCUCCAGCCCCGGCACUGGCUGAGCCCUGAUCCCAGGUGCAGAUGCCCCUGACUGUAGCCACGGGCUGCUUUCUGAUCCCAGUUACAGGUUGACGUCUCACCCCAGCCCCAGACUGAGCCCUGACACAGGCGUGAACUGAGCACACACCCCAGCCUUGGACCAACCCCUGACCCCAACCAGACCGGCCCCUGAUCCAGGCACAGACCAGCCUCAUCUCUGCUGACGUCCAACUCCAGCUUUGUCCACCUCUGGCUCUUUGCUUCUUCAGCCCCCAGGCCGAGACCAUCCUGGGGUGCAUCACAGGGGCCAGCCACCGGGAUCGGGAAGGUGACGGUCCACGCUGUUGGAUGCUGUGUCCCUUCCUGGCCCUGCACUUUCAAAGGUCCGCAGACCAGCUGGAGCGGAUGCAGGAGGGAGACCAGAGUGCAGGCCUGGGGGCGCUGAGGGGGCCAAGGCUGGCUGGUUUGGAGGCAGGAGGCCUGCUCAGCCUGGUGGGACCCAUGCCACCUCCAGCGUGUGAGCCAGCGUGCCACCUCCACCACCUUGUCUUCCAGCCAGCCCUGAAAGGCGGAGCACGCCCGCCCUGCUUUGUGGACGAGGAACCGGGCCGGACAGGGUCAGUGAUACCCAAACGUACACAGCACGACCCGAGGCAGUCUGACCCGAAGCCCAGUCAGCCGUGCUGGAGACAGACCUCAGCCUGAUCCCAACACCACCAGCCUAUGGGGCGGGGGCUGCCUUGAGUGGAUGGGGCAGCUUCACAGGGGCGGGGGGAGACAUCGGGGGAGACGCAGGGGACCACCGAGCUGGGGUGUCGGAGCCGGAUCUGGGCCCCCAGGUGGGAGGGGGGCCAGCCUGGGCUCUUGGGCCCCUGCAGCCGCCAACUCGGGCUCCCUGAGCCUCCCAGAAACUGAGGCUGGGCACCCCGAGCUUAGGGGGAAAGAAGCUGUGUUUAUUCGGAGCUCUAAUCUCUGGGCCUUAUCGCCGCCUGUUUGCCCAUCGAGAGUUCACACAUGGCUGGAGGUCACAGCGGGGUGGGAGGGGCUGACAAUAUUUGCCCACUUCUCCCGGUGAUGUUAUAAAUAGUACGAGCCUCUCAGCUCGGAGGGGUCUCCCGCGGGCACCAGAUGCCAGGUGGGGUGCCUGCGGUGUUGACAUUCCCCAGCUCUGAGUUUGGCUUCCGAUAGCGGUGCACGAGGGCGUGGCCGGAGAAGCCCUUUCUCAUAGGAAAGCUCGAGAAACAGCUGCGCACCCCCCACCGCGGGGCUUGGUUGCCCCCAUGCUGUCCCAGCCCACACCUGGGACGUGGGAAAGUCCACUUGGAGUGUCCAGGGGCUGUGCUGGGGCUGGGGACAGCAAAGCCCCACAGGAGGCCGGGCCCAGCCCCACGUCAGGGCCCACGGCAGGGUGCCCAGACACUGCCCGAAGGAGGCAGUGUGGCUUGCUGGUUAAGGCACACGAAGGUUCCGUGCACUUGGGCACUGUGUGACUUGGGGAGCCCCAGUUUCCAGCUAUUAAACGGGGUGCCCGUGAGUCCCACACCAUAGAGUUGCGGGGAGAUGGAUGAGAUGCUGAGCCACACACACACCACCGCCCGCCUCCGCACUGGGCCCACUAGGGCCAUCGCCCCCCGUCACCCCACAGGCUGACCAGGCCCCAGGGGAGGCGGGCUUGGGCAUGCCCUCCCACCCAGGUACCAGGCCAGCAGGAGCCUCCUCCAACACCCUCAGCCACUCCCGGCUGCUCCCAAUGAGGGCCCUUUUCCUUUCUGGGUUUGUUGGGGGUUAAUCAUCCUCGUCACCCAGUUUACAGGACCUCUGGUUGCUUCAAAGCCCGCCUGGUACCAGCAGCCUGGAGGAUCCUCCGGCCCACCCCCUGAGGAUGGGAACCCACCUGCUGCGCUUGGGGGCCCUCACGGGCUUUAGGGGGACGGGCCAGGAGGAAGAGGCAAGGAGGUAGCUGGUAGCCUUGGCCUCCUCGAGGGCCUCAGUGGGACAGCGGCACCCGGACGGUGCUGUCACCGCGCCCAGCCCAGGGGAGCCCGGGUCUAGGCAGGCAGGCUGGUCCCAGGCAAGGGUGCCAGCAUGGCCGGCCCAGGGUCAGGUGGUGACCUGGGUGAGCCCAGGCCCUUUGCCUUCCCAAGUCCUUUCCUCCGUAAAAAACAAAAAGAGUGAAAAUUAGAUCUUAUGGAUGUGUUGGCCUAAAGACAAAUACAUUAAUAUUAUAUAUGAAAGCAUUUUCUUGUUCUUAAAAAUUCAGUUUUUUCUCCUGAUUUUAAGAGACAUUAAAAUACUUCCCUGA